UCAGCGAUUGUGUUCUCAUGGGGUCC
rnacentral:piRNA from 1 species